AGGAGGGCGCUGGCCGGCCGCUCCCGCGGCUGCUCCGCCUGGCUAGCAUGGCUUUCUCCGCGCCCGGCGCUGCCUCCGCAGAGCUCCGCACCCAGGACGCCUGGACCCAGCAGAUCUUUCCUGUCAUCCACUGGAUCCAAGCAGUCAUGGCUACUUUGAGUGUAAUAGGGUCCAGUUCGCUGAUUGGUUAUGCAGUGCUCCAGAAUACAGCCAGAUCCCCCCAGGUAAGG